GGCGGCGUAACUCAGUUGGUAGAGUAGCCGGUUCAUACCCGGUAUGUCACCUGUUCGAAUCAGGUCGCCGCUACCA
rnacentral:tRNA from 1 species